AGUGAACGCUGGCGGUAGGCCUAACACAUGCAAGUCGAACGGCAGCACAGUAAGAGCUUGCUCUUACGGGUGGCGAGUGGCGGACGGGUGAGGAAUACAUCGGAAUCUACUUUUUCGUGGGGGAUAACGUAGGGAAACUUACGCUAAUACCGCAUACGACCUACGGGGGAAAGCAGGGGAUCUUCGGACCUUGCGCGAAUGAAUGAGCCGAUGUCGGUUUAGCUAGUUGGCGGGGUAAAGGCCCACCAAGGCGACGAUCCGUAGCUGGUCUGAGAGGAUGAUCGGCCACACUGGAACUGGGCCACGGUCCAGACUCCUACGGUAGGCAGCAGUGGGGAAUAUUGGACAAUGGGCGCAAGCCUUAUCCAGCCAUACCGCGUGGGUGAAGAAGGCCUUCGGGUUGUAAAGCCCUUUUGUUGGGAAAGAACAGCAGCAGGUUAAUACCCCGCUGUUCUGACGGUACCCAAAGAAUAAGCACCGGCUAACUUCGUG
rnacentral:rRNA from 1 species